GGGCAAGUAACUCAGUGGAUAGAGUAUCAGAUUCCGAUUCUGAAGGUCGUGGGUUCGAAUCCCUCCUUGUCCG
rnacentral:tRNA from 1 species